UGAGGCUAAAAGGUGAAUAGGAUUAUUGUCGCUUUAUUCAGGCCUGGCAAACGGCUUCCAAGGUCACCCGGACGGCAUGGAGCAGCAGCCCCGGCUGCUCAUUCACAGCCAGCCCCUUCUUCCUUUCCUGGGGGGCUGCUCUGUGCACCCCCAGCAGCCUCCCCAUCCGCACGGCCAUGCCCAUGUCCCCUUCGCCUGUGUGUGACCAGUUCCCUCCGCAGUGCUGGAUGCUGGACACCACCCAGAGCAGGACCAGCUCCUCAGCCUGCGGGCACCACACUCCUCCGAAUUUCUGCACCACGGGAGUCGUAUUUGCAAAUUCCCCCCAGUGCUGGGGGAGCCCAGCCAGUGUUUGAGGGUGGGCGGGACAUAGGGAAGAAAUGGUGUGGGAGGAGCUGGCAGAUCCCCCGUGGAGAGCGUGGUGGGGACUGGCGCCUAUGGCCCCAUUGUUUCGGCUUUUCCUGCCCCCCUGCCCAGUACCCCUGGCUGUGCGUGCUCCAGUGGUCCAGCUCAGUCAAGAGCUCGCUCCUGGGAUGGAGAAAGCUGCUGUCGUGCCUCUUUGCCCCAGCUGCCUUGCUGGUUAUCGCCUUCCCAGCCCCUUGGGGUUAUCAAGCAGUUCCAGCUGGGCCGGAGCCGGGACUUGAGGCCCAGCACCCCCUGACCCCACGGACUGGCCGAGAGCCCGGGGCCAAGUGCGUUCCUUGCACCUCGGGGCAGCCCUGGCCAGGGCCGGAGGGGGCUGUGAGGCAGCGGAGCAGCGGCCAGGUCCGGGUGCGCUGCUUUGUGCUGGCAGCGGCCCCGCGGUGUCCGCAGGAGCCAUUGUCUGUGCCGGACUCCCUGCGCUGAGGAAGCGCUGCCCGGUUUCCUUCCCAUACAUCCCGCUGUGCGGGGGACCCGCAGGCGGCCCUGCCUCACCCCGUGUGGCCCCGAGAGCCUCCGGGAACCUCCGCGUGCCUCCGGUCCUGCCCGGGGACCCGCCUGCCCCAGCACCCGCCAGCUCCCCCGUGACUCUGCCCACGGUGCGCCGCGAGGAGCCACAUGGCCUAGGGGGCGUGUGGGUUCCGGUGCUCCCCCCGGUGCUCCCCGCGGUGCGUG
rnacentral:lncRNA from 1 species